UAGACAUAUCCAAUUUAUUUUUUGCAAACCUACUUUCAAAUAUCAUUGGCCGUGUUUAAUUUUGAGAUUAGGUGGGAUUAUUAUUUGUUUUUUUAGGCCAUAAAAAGGUGGAUGACAGAAGGGAAUGUCUAUAGAUUAUAAUGGGAAGAAAAAUAUUCCCAUAUUCCCAAUUAGGUAUUUUUUAAAACAUUGUCCGUGUGCCCAUAGAGAAUAGUGGAAUGCCCAUAG